rnacentral:rRNA from 1 species
UACAGAGGGUGCGAGCGUUGUCCGGAAUCACUGGGCGUAAAGGGCGCGUAGGUGGCGAUCCAAGUCCAUGGUGAAAGCUCGAUGCUCAACAUCGAGUCGGCCACGGAUACUGGGUUGCUUGAGCACUGUAGGGGCAGAUGGAAUUCCGGGUGUAGCGGUGGAAUGCGUAGAGAUCCGGAAGAACACCGGUGGCGAAGGCGGUCUGCUGGGCAGUUGCUGACACUGAGGCGCGGACAGCGUGGGGAGCAAACAGG